GCUCGGGUGGCGGAACUGGUAUACGCACAGCACUUAAAAUGCUGCGCUCGUAAGGGCAUGCGGGUUCGACUCCCGCCCCGAGCACCA
rnacentral:tRNA from 1 species